rnacentral:rRNA from 1 species
UACGGGGGGGGCAAGCGUUGUUCGGAAUUACUGGGCGUAAAGGGCUCGUAGGCGGCCAACUAAGUCAGACGUGAAAUCCCCAGGCUCAACCUGGGAACUGCGUCUGAUACUGGAUGGCUUGAAUUCGGGAGAGGGAUGCAGAAUUCCAGGUGUAGCGGUGAAAUGCGUAGAUAUCUGGAGGAAUACCGGUGGCGAAGGCGGCAUCCUGGACCGACAUUGACGCUGAUGAGCGAAAGCCAGGGGAGCAAACGGG